rnacentral:rRNA from 1 species
UACGUAGGGCGCAAGCGUUGUCCGGAUUUAUUGGGCGUAAAGAGCUCGUAGGCGGUUUGGUAAGUCGGGUGUGAAAUCUCCACGCUCAACGUGGAGGGGCCACUCGAUACUGCCAUGACUCGAGUCCGGUAGAGGAGUGUGGAAUUCCUGGUGUAGCGGUGGAAUGCGCAGAUAUCAGGAGGAACACCGAUGGCGAAGGCAGCUCGCUGGGACGGUACUGACGCUGAGGCGCGAAAGCGUGGGGAGCGAACAGG